rnacentral:rRNA from 1 species
GAGUUUGAUCAUGGCUCAGGAUGAACGCUGGCGGCGUGCUUAACACAUGCAAGUCGAACGAACCUUCGGGUUAGUGGCGGACGGGUGAGUAACGCGUGGGAAUCUGCCCUCAGGAGGGGGAUAACGGUUGGAAACGACCGCUAAUACCCCAUAUGCCGAGAGGUGAAAUGAAUUUCGCCUGAGGAUGAGCCCGCGUCUGAUUAGCUUGUUGGUGAGGUAAAGGCUCACCAAGGCUUCGAUCAGUAGCUGGUCUGAGAGGAUGAUCAGCCACACUGGGACUGAGACACGGCCCAGACUCCUACGGGAGGCAGCAGUGGGGAAUUUUCCGCAAUGGACGAAAGUCUGACGGAGCAACGCCGCGUGAGGGACGAAGGCCUCUGGGCUGUAAACCUCUUUUCUCAAGGAAGAAGAUAUGACGGUACUUGAGGAAUAAGCCACGGCUAAUUCCGUGCCAGCAGCCGCGGUAAUACGGGAGUGGCAAGCGUUAUCCGGAAUUAUUGGGCGUAAAGCGUCCGCAGGCGGCUUUUCAAGUCUGCUGUUAAAACGUGGAGCUUAACUCCAUCAUGGCAGUGGAAACUGAUUGGCUUGAGUAUGGUAGGGGUAGAGGGAAUUCCCGGUGUAGCGGUGAAAUGCGUAGAUAUCGGGAAGAACACCAGUGGCGAAGGCGCUCUACUGGGCCAUAACUGACGCUCAUGGACGAAAGCCAGGGGAGCGAAAGGGAUUAGAUACCCCUGUAGUCCUGGCCGUAAACGAUGAACACUAGGUGUCGGGGGAAUCGACCCCUUCGGUGUCGUAGCUAACGCGUUAAGUGUUCCGCCUGGGGAGUACGCACGCAAGUGUGAAACUCAAAGGAAUUGACGGGGGCCCGCACAAGCGGUGGAGUAUGUGGUUUAAUUCGAUGCAACGCGAAGAACCUUACCAGGGCUUGACAUCCUGCGAACCUUUAAGAAAUUAGAGGGUGCCUUCGGGAACGCAGUGACAGGUGGUGCAUGGCUGUCGUCAGCUCGUGUCGUGAGAUGUUGGGUUAAGUCCCGCAACGAGCGCAACCCACGUUUUUAGUUGCCAGCAUUUAGUUGGGCACUCUAGAAAGACCGCCGGUGAUAAACCGGAGGAAGGUGUGGAUGACGUCAAGUCAUCAUGCCCCUUACGUCCUGGGCUACACACGUACUACAAUGCUACGGACAAAGGGCAGCAAACUCGCGAGAGCUAGCAAAUCCCAUAAACCGUGGCUCAGUUCAGAUCGUAGGCUGCAACUCGCCUACGUGAAGUAGGAAUCGCUAGUAAUCGCAGGUCAGCAUACUGCGGUGAAUACGUUCCCGGGCCUUGUACACACCGCCCGUCAAACCAUGGAAGUUGGCCACGCCCGAAGUCGUUACUUUAACCCUUGUGGAGAAGGACGCCGAAGGUGGGGCUGAUGACUGGGGUGAAGUCGUAACAAGGUAACC